GUUCUGGCGUUCUUCUAAUAAUGGCGGAGCGACGGUUAGCGGCGGCAGCAGCAGCCCAGUGGAAACUUCAAAAGCAGUCCUUUCCAUUUUUGAGUACCCCUGGUCUGGCUAAAGGGUUGCAGGUUUCUUGUGAACGCCAGUGGAGAGAUGUUCGGCCCUUCAUAGCAGGGAAGAAGAUGGAUUGUUAUAUCUGUAUAGUGAGCUCCACCUCUUUCUAGUUCACAGUGUGCGCCUUUCCCAGCUGCAUUCUGGCCUGCAGCGAUCUCAUCCAGAUCAGCUAUGGUACAAAGGAAUGCUACAGGACCAGAGCCCACACCUAUACAGAAACUCGGCAGUUGGAAUUGCCACACUCCGGUGGAUAUACCGAUGUAACUGAUUGGGACACACCAAUAGCACUGAACCAGGCAGCAGUUAGUGUCAGUAGGGUAUCUGUUGUGUUCUUGUGAUGCAUUUAAAAAUCGAAAAUUUCCCCACCCCUACUCAGCUUUGUGUAUAAGCAUAAAAAUAGCUCAAACAAAUACAUCUUUCAAUUGCAAACAUUAGGAACUGUACCAUGGAAGAAACGGGAAACUGGCGCGUAGUGGUUCCAGAUGUCCAUUGUCAGACAAAGAUUUGGUGGCGCUACAGACAGCAAUUCACCCAGCCAAGGGACUCCUUUGUAUGUGACGUCUACAUUCAGGCUUUCCAGUUGACACAGGUAUGGAAUGAGCUACACUAAACUGUUUCUGACUUAACUGGACAGGAAAAACAUUUUAUUUUUACCAAAUUAACUUUAAUGUUAAACAUUUAAUAGAACACAGUAAUUUAAAUAACCAAAACUGGUUUGUUGAUUCAAUUUUCAAUUUAUUUAUAUAGCACUUUUUACAACAAAGGUUGUCACAAAUGCCAUUGUUAUGCAGACAUGCCAAAUGUCAUAGGCUAUGGUAAUGUCUUCUCUGGUGUUUUUCAGGUACACAAGUGACAUUGUGGAUCGAGGAAUGCCAAAUACCUGUACUCCAGAAUAUUAAACUUAGCCAAGAUCAAUUAGGGAUUGGACACUUACCCAGUUUAACUCCCCCAAACUGAAGAGCCUCCCUUAGUGUAGAUCUAAAGUAAUUAUAGUUUUUGAGAUGUGCAGUUGGGAAGGUAUUUAUUUUUUUCUACAAGCCUACAGUAGGAGGUUUGUGUGCUUGUCCAGUGAGUCACUGCACAACAACUGGCACAGUCAGUCUUGGUUCUGAAGCUCACUUGCAUUGGGGUCUGCUGUUGUCAGGUCUUCAAGCUGAAGAGAAGUAUAUAGGAAAGGAAAAGUUUGGUGUAAAAAUAGACUUGGAGUGUAAUAGUAAAACAUGACGAGUACAGACGUUUUUCAAGUAGCAAACCUCCCUUCUCCCCCAGAGCUUUUAGCUGAUGCUCUCUACAGACUUACAAUGUUAGUUGAUGGAGCCAUAGCACUUCAUAUGCAAAGAAAUGGUUAUUUAUACACCAUUAACAAGCUCAAAGUAGCUCCACACAUGUUCAGGAGAAUUCUAAGGGACCUGACAUUUAAAACGAGUCACUGAGAGCGUUGAAGGUUUACAGAUAGUUUAUAAAAAACACUACACACAGUACCUUUACGUUGACUGAAACAAAUGGGUAGGAUAGGAGAGCAGAUUGAUUGAAUUCUGUGGAAAUGCAUGAAUAUUAGAGAUGUUUCCAGCAACAGCUGCAUUUCAACUGAAUUCAUUUUGCAAUGUGUUCCCAUGUCCUCGUCAGUCAACUUAUCGAGGUACAAUUUGUGUAAAGUGUUUUUAAUAAACUACCUAUGGACUUUCUGUAGCAUUCAAUUUAAGAUACCAGAAAAAACCUGAAGACAAUCUUGUAAGAAAUCUUCUUUGUUGCUUCCCAGUGGACUCAUUUCUGGUUUCAGGCACAACAUAAGGGAGUUUUCUUCCAGCUAAAAAAAAAAUGUAAUACCUAAAUUAGCAUUUCUUUUUUUUAAUAUGUUGAAAGUAUUUGAUAAAAUACAUAAUGUAAUGGUUUUGCACAUACCUUAUUCUCUUUUCCAGAGAGGAACAGGCUGUAUAAAAACAGCGUAAUCUUCCUGAAGAACUGUGAGGAGCUGGAGAUCUUCACCAAUGUCUUGCACAUAGUAGCACGCAGGAGCAUGGCUCUGGGGGUUGAAGGACAUGACAACAAUGAUUUUGCAUUCUAAUGUGUUGUACUGUGGUGUGUUGUAUAACUCAGACUUAAAUUUAAAUAGUUCUGAAGUUAUUGAUCGAGUGUACCCACAGCUAAGGACAGGUUCGGUCAGAAUUUGUCCUGCCGAGUUAAAAGACAUUAGUUUAACUUUUGUGCUGCGCCUGCAACAGCUUUUAAGACUAUACCUGUGCUGUAUAGUCUUAAAAGCUGUGUCACAGUUAAAUGGCCUAAAUGGGCCUUUUGGAAAGCUCAGCUGAGCAAAUUUUUUUCCAGGUAACGAGUUCUGUGAUUAGUCUUAACGAGUAGGACAGGUGCGGUGAACACCUGAUUUGCUUUCUGCACAAAAAAUGCAUUCAAAGAAUUUCAUGAUUGCACUAUUUCAAAUUAUUCUAAUUUGUUGACCAGCACCUGUACAUGUAAGAGCCAUAUAUUACACUAGAACAAAUCACACUAUUAACAGUGCAGUAAAAACAAGAUUUUUUUUUAAAGAGCUGUUUGGCUGCUUAAUUGUCUACAUGUCAACCAUUGUGUGGAUUUGUUUAUAGUGUGUAAUUAAACACACUAAAUGUUUAAUGGAAACAGCAUUUACAGUCCUUCCUUUAGAAGAGGUAAUGAUUAAACUAACACUCACUACUUACAUAAAACAAAGCAAUGUCUGAUUAUCUGUAUUUACUUUGCUUUAUACAAAUGAUUACAUUUUUUAAUGCCUAAAAAUUCUGCACAGUACUGUUACUAAUACAUCACAAACCCUGCAAAAAUUCA